rnacentral:rRNA from 1 species
GCUUACGGCCAUACCAGCCUGGCUAUACCCAAUCUCGUCUGGUCUCGGAAGCUAAGCAGGUUUGGGCCUGGUGAGUACUUGGAUGGGAGACCUCCUUGAAAUACCAGGUGCUGUAAGCU